AGUGGCGAACGGGUGAGUAACACGUGACCAACNUGCNUCGCACAUCGGGAUAACUGCCGGAAACGGCAGCUAAUACCGGAUACUAUCCCCCUUCCGCAUGGGAGGAGGAUGAAAGCUUUCGCGGUGCGAGAUGGGGUCGCGGCCCAUCAGGUAGUAGGUGGGGCAGCAGCCCACCUAGCCUACGACGGGUAGCCGGACUGAGAGGUCGAUCGGCCACAUUGGGACUGAGAUACGGCCCAGACUCCUACGGGAGGCAGCAGUGGGGAAUAUUGCGCAAUGGGGGAAACCCUGACGCAGCAACGCCGCGUGCGGGAUGAAGGCCUUCGGGUUGUAAACCGCUUUCAGCAGGGAAGACGCAGACGGUACCUGCAGAAGAAGCCCCGGCUAAUUACGUGCCAGCAGCCGCGGUAAUACGUAGGGGGCGAGCGUUAUCCGGAUUCAUUGGGCGUAAAGCGCGCGCAGGCGGACCGUUAAGCGGGACCUCUAAUCCUGGGGCUCAACCUCAGGCCGGGUCCCGAACUGGCGGUCUCGAGUGCGGUAGGGGAGGCCGGAAUUCCCGGUGUAGCGGUGGAAUGCGCAGAUAUCGGGAAGAACACCGAUGGCGAAGGCAGACCUCUGGGCCGACACUGACGCUGAGGCGCGAAAGCUAGGGGAGCGAACAGGAUUAGAUACCCUGGUA
rnacentral:rRNA from 1 species